UGAAUACGAGAUGCUACGGCGUCGAAGCAGUCUAUGUCAUACUUCCAAGAAAAGCUUGCACUGUCAUAAACAAAUAAUGCCUGUACCAUAACCGACACAGGUGGGUAGGUAGAGUAUACUAAGGGGCGCGAGAUAACUCUCUCUAAGGAACUCGGCAAAAUGACUCCGUAACUUCGGGAGAAGGAGUGCCUUAUUUAUAAGGUUGCAAUAACAAGAUCCAAGCAACUGUUUACCAAAAACACAGGUCUCCGCUAAGUCGUAAGACGAUGUAUGGGGGCUGACGCCUGCCCAGUGCCAGAAGGUUAAAGAAGUUGGUUAGCAUCCGCGAAGCUGAUAACUGAAGCCCUGGUGAACGGCGGCCGUAACUAUAACGGUCCUAAGGUAGCGAAAUUCCUUGUCGGGUAAGUUCCGACCCGCACGAAAGGCGUAAUGAUUUGGAUACUGUCUCGGAGAGGGGCUCGGUGAAAUAGACUUGUCUGUGAAGAUGCGGACUACCUGCACCAGGACAGAAAGACCCUAUGAAGCUUUACUGUAACCUGAAAUUGAAAUUGGACUUUCUUGCGCAGUAUAGGUGGGAGGCGUUGAGAAUAUUCUUGCGGGAUUAUUGGAGCCAUCAGUGAGAUACCACUCUUGUAAUGUUAGAUUUCUAACUUUGUAUCAUUAUCUGGUCAAAGAACAGUUUCAGGCGGGCAGUUUGACUGGGGCGGUCGCCUCCUAAACGGUAACGGAGGCGCACAAAGGUUUCCUCUGAACGGGUAGAAAUCGUAUCUAGAGUGUAAAGGCAUAAGGAAGCUUGACUGUGAGACCUACAAGUCGAGCAGGGACGAAAGUCGGUCUUAGUGAUCUGACGGUGCUGAGUGGAAAGGCCGUCACUCAACGGAUAAAAGUUACUCUAAGGAUAACAGGCUGAUCUCCCCCAAGAGUUCACAUCGACGGGGAGGUUUGGCACCUCGAUGUCGGCUCAUCGCAUCCUGGGGCGGUAGUACGUCCCAAGGGUUGGGCUGUUCGCCCAUGAAAGCGGUACGCGAGCUGGGUUCAGAACGUCGUGAGACAGUUCGGUCCAUAUCCGGUGUAGGCGUUAGAAUAUUGAGAGGAGCCUUCUUUAGUACGAGAGGACCGAGAAGGACAUACCUCUGGUGUACCAGUUAUCGUGCCAACGGUAAACGCUGGGUAGCUAUGUGUGGAGUGGAUAACCGCUGAAAGCAUCUAAGUGGGAAGCCCACCUCAAGAUAAGUAUUCUCAAAAAG
rnacentral:rRNA from 1 species